AGGUCUCAUGCUGAACUAGAACAUCCAUGGAUCGUUCCUAUAGCACCGGUUCAGCUCCUUUAUGCAGAGACAAAGAAGCAUCUACAGAGGGCAAUGCUCAGAUCAUUAUCACCUUUUUACAUCAUUUUCUCACUGCUUUUACCUUUCCUGUUGUAUCUUGAAGACUUACUAGUUGCAAGCACUUUCUCUGACUUCUUAAAGAAUGUCACAGCAGAUUGUGAUAUGUCAACACAAGUACAGGUGUCCAAAACAGCGAUAGUGAAAUGGAAUUGUGGAAAAUAGUAUCAUGAAAGGAACAUCUCCAAAGGCUGAAGAGUUAUACCCUGGUUGGCUCUAUUAGAUAAUUGGCUGUGAAUUCUGAAUCUUGGCCUCUCGUUUGAAGACAUGUCAUUUAAUGGACAGCUAAGACAUAAGUAAUCAGCCAUUAAUGUUAAAAAUAUCACUUAGAAUCUGCUACAACAAGAUCAGAUGAAUCAAAACCUCUCCAGCCCUAGAAAUAUCUGCAUAUGCCUAUAAAACAUGGACACAAAAGAAAGGUACUUCACUUUUCCAGGAUCAGUAGGAAAGUUCAGUCCUGUAAGAGGACAGGAGGUCUCUUGCAGGAAAAAGGGAAGAAAAAAGUCAAAUUUCACAUUUUGUAAAAGAACAGAUAGAGGAAACCCCAUGAUUUCAAGGACUAGAUUCAAGGAAAGGGCCUAGUGGGACAGAGAAGAAACUAACCCAGAAAGUACUGAAUGGGAUGGAGUGGAGACUAAAACUGACGAGCUGUUUCAAAAAUCUGCAAGGCAAUGGAGUCCAACCCAGAAAAGGAAUGACCACAGCAAGCUGCUUUCCUACUGUGUUUCUGGCUGAGAAGCUUGGCUGACAGCUCUGCAGACAGCAGUGUUCCAGCGUCAUUCAUGGACAGAGCGUCAAGCACCAGAAGAGCACUACUUAUGCACAGCCCAGUGGUAUCUACCACUACCUCACAUGGGAGCUGGGAGCUUUACAGCAUGUAUGCUACAGUACCACUGGAGAAUGGCAAAAGCCAGAGAUAAAAAAAACAGAGUGGAAGCACACAUCUACUGCUCAUUAAGUGACUUCAGGUGAUACCAGUGGGUUUUGUGCAUGUGUCUACAUGGGUUUUUUUCCUCAGCUCUAGCAGAGAAUAUUUUAUUUGCUUACUGAAGUUUUCACAUGCUAUAUGUUGUUGCUGUUUUGUUUUGUUUCUUAAAUCUCUCACCUAUAUAUUUAUUAUAGACGGAUAUUAUACCCUCACAGUAUAGAAACACUGCAAAGUGCUAGUUAAGUUCUCAGAGCUGACUGAAUAAUACCAUAAAUACAAGGGUACUGAAAUGACAACAAUAAAGAGAGCUGUACUUUGAGCAAUAAAUAUGAACU
ensembl:lncRNA